ACGGGAGGCAGCAGUGAGGAAUAUUGGUCAAUGGGCGGAAGCCUGAACCAGCCAUGUCGCGUGCAGGACUACGGCCCUACGGGUCUUAAACUGCUUUUGCAAGGGGAUAAAGUGGGGCACGCGUGCCCCUUUGCAGGUACCUUGCGAAUAAGGAUCGGCUAACUCCGUGCCAGCAGCCGCGGUAAUACGGAGGAUCCGAGCGUUAUCCGGAUUUAUUGGGUUUAAAGGGUGCGUAGGCGGGCUGUUAAGUCAGCGGUGAAACCCCCGGGCUCAACCCGGGGACUGCCAUUGAAACUGGCGGCCUUGAGUACGUUGGGAGUGCGCGGAAUGUGUGGUGUAGCGGUGAAAUGCAUAGAUAUCACACAGAACACCGAUUGCGAAGGCAUCUCACGAAUCCGUUAUUGACGCUGAGGCACGAAAGCGUGGGGAUCAAACAGGAUUAGAUACCCUGGUA
rnacentral:rRNA from 1 species